rnacentral:pre_miRNA from 1 species
GAGAUCAUCAAACUGGUUAUGAUGUGUUGUGUUUUAUCAUAUCACAGCCAGCUUUGAUGAGCUUAU